GACGAACGCUGGCGGCGUGCUUAACACAUGCAAGUCGAACGAAGUGGCAAACGGGUGAGUAACGCGUAAUCCACCUGCCCUUCAGAGGGGGACAACAGUUGGAAACGACUGCUAAUACCGCAUACUGAAGGUGGGGAUUGCGGCUGAUUAGCUCGUUGGAGGGGUAACGGCCCAACAAGGCGAUGAUGAGUAGCCGGGCUGAGAGGAUGAACGGCCACAUUGGGACUGAGAAACGGCCCAGACCCCUACGGGAGGCAGCAGUGGGGGAUCUUCCGCAAUGGACGAAAGUCUGACGGAGCAACGCCGCGUGAGUGAUGACGGCCUUCGGGUUGUAAAGCUCUGUUAAUCGGGACGCGGUACCGGAAUAGAAAGCCACGGCUAACUACGUGCCAGCAGCCGCGGUAAUAC
rnacentral:rRNA from 1 species